rnacentral:rRNA from 1 species
UCGAUUCCCUUAGUAGCGGCGAGCGAAACGGGAAGAGCCCAAACCAACAAGCUUGCUUGUUGGGGUUGUAGGACACUCUAUACGGAGUUACAAAGGACGACAUUAGACGAAUCAUCUGGAAAGAUGAAUCAAAGAAGGUAAUAAUCCUGUAGUCGAAAAUGUUGUCUCUCUUGAGUGGAUCCUGAGUACGACGGAGCACGUGAAAUUCCGUCGGAAUCUGGGAGGACCAUCUCCUAAGGCUAAAUACUCUCUAGUGACCGAUAGUGAACCAGUACCGUGAGGGAAAGGUGAAAAGCACCCCGGAAGGGGAGUGAAAUAGAACCUGAAACCGUGUGCUUACAAGUAGUCAGAGCCCGUUAAUGGGUGAUGGCGUGCCUUUUGUAGAAUGAACCGGCGAGUUACGAUUUGAUGCAAGGUUAAGCAGUAAAUGUGGAGCCGUAGCGAAAGCGAGUCUGAAUAGGGCGUUUAGUAUUUGGUCGUAGACCCGAAACCAGGUGAUCUACCCUUGGUCAGGUUGAAGUUCAGGUAACACUGAAUGGAGGACCGAACCGACUUACGUUGAAAAGUGAGCGGAUGAACUGAGGGUAGCGGAGAAAUUCCAAUCGAACCUGGAGAUAGCUGGUUCUCUCCGAAAUAGCUUUAGGGCUAGCCUCAAGUGAUGAUUAUUGGAGGUAGAGCACUGUUUGGACGAGGGGCCCCUCUCGGGUUACCGAAUUCAGACAAACUCCGAAUGCCAAUUAAUUUAACUUGGGAGUCAGAACAUGGGUGAUAAGGUCCGUGUUCGAAAGGGAAACAGCCCAGACCACCAGCUAAGGUCCCAAAAUAUAUGUUAAGUGGAAAAGGAUGUGGCGUUGCCCAGACAACUAGGAUGUUGGCUUAGAAGCAGCCAUCAUUUAAAGAGUGCGUAAUAGCUCACUAGUCGAGUGACACUGCGCCGAAAAUGUACCGGGGCUAAACAUAUUACCGAAGCUGUGGAUUGUCCUUUGGACAAU